rnacentral:rRNA from 1 species
AAGGAACCAGUCGACGCCCUCCAACGCAUUCUAGAGUCAGGUUGCUUGAGAGUGCAGCUUAAAGUAGGUGGUAAACUCCAUCCAAGACUAAAUAUGACAGCGAGACCGAUAGCAAACAAGUACCGUGAGGGAAAGUUGCAAAGCACUUUGAAGAGAGAGUUCAACAGUACGUGAAACCACUGACAGGCAAACAGAUGGAACCACGAAGUUGCGUCCCGGUCGAUUCAAUCAGAGUUGAUGAUCAAUUGGCUAGAUCUAGGAGCUCUACGGAGUUUGGAUCUAGCUAAUUUGAUUGUAGACACUGGUGCAUUUCGUACCGGGAAUGCUAAGCCACGUUCGACUAGAUAGUUGGUACGGCCGUAGGAUAGACUACAAGUAAGGUGCCCGUCCAGUGCUUGCAUUGGGCGGCGUUAUAGACUUGUGGUGGAACCGUAUCCAACAUACUGGUCGAUGCAAAUUCUCCGUUCGGAGUUUGAGUUGCACUUGCCUUCUGUUGUUACCAAGUGUUUCGAGGCGGCCUUUGCGUAUCUUUGGGUGCGAAAAGACGUUUCAACGAUGUUUGGUAAUAGUGGAUUGCUUUGUGUAACAGAACUGUGGCACGAGUAGGUCGGUGUCCAUCUGACCCGUCUUGAAACACGGACC